rnacentral:rRNA from 1 species
AUACGGAGGGGGCUAGCGUUGUUCGGAAUUACUGGGCGUAAAGCGUACGUAGGCGGACUGAUCAGUUGGGGGUGAAAUCCCAGGGCUUAACCCUGGAACUGCCUUCAAUACUGUCAGUCUUGAGAUUGGAAGAGGUGAGUGGAAUUCCUAGUGUAGAGGUGAACUUCAUAGAUAUUAGGAGGAACACCAGUGGCGAAGGCGGCUCACUGGUCCAAUACUGACGCUGAGGUACGAAAGCGUGGGGAGCAAACAGGAUUAGAAACCCCAGUAGUCC